rnacentral:rRNA from 1 species
AGGGAUAGGGUCGGUUCGGCCGGGUUUCACACAGGUGUUGCAUGGCUGUCGUCAGCUCGUGUCGUGAGAUGUUGGGUUAAGUCCUGCAACGAGCGCAACCCUCAUCCUUAGUUACCAUCAGGUAAUGCUGGGGACUUUAAGGAAACUGCCAGUGAUAAACUGGAGGAAGGUGGGGAUGAUGUCAAGUCAUCAUGGCCCUUAUGGAGUGGGCUACACACGUGCUACAAUGGUGGCUACAAUGGGCUGCAAAGUCGCGAGGCUAAGCCAAUCCCUUAAAAGCCAUCUCAGUUCGGAUUGUACUCUGCAACUCGAGUGCAUGAAGUUGGAAUCGCUAGUAAUCGUGGAUCAGCACGCCACGGUGAAUACGUUCUCGGGUCUUGUACACACUGCCCGUCACGCCAUGGGAAUUGGU